GGACCGUGACGAUUCAAUUGAUAAGGUCUCGUUCGUCGUAAUUGGCCGCAAGGCCUUGCCGACCAUUCUGUUAUAUCACCACCCAUUAUCUGAGUCCCUUGUUUCCUCAAUCUAUCUUUUCCGAUCUGGGUUUUGAAAUUUAGGGUUUAUCUUAGUUUGUUUUCUUCUUGUCGGCCGAUGAUUAAAAUUAAAUUAAUGACAAGCAUAUGUCUGAAUCACCUUGUGUUGAACUCACUAAUCUUCUCUAUGAGGCCGAUUCUCUUUCUUCUUUAUAUGGUUUUCAUUUCUUUGCCAAUGAUGAUGAUAUGGUUAUCGUGUAAUUUAUGACUCUCCGUGAUUACACACAUACCUCUACUGCCUUCCUUCUGAGGCU
rnacentral:lncRNA from 1 species